AUGAAACACUCCUACGGGAGGCAGCAGUAGGGAAUCUUCGGCAAUGGGGGGAACCCUGACCGAGCAACGCCGCGUGAGUGAAGAAGGUUUUCGGAUCGUAAAGCUCUGUUGUAAGAGAAGAACGAGUGUGAGAGUGGAAAGUUCACACUGUGACGGUAACUUACCAGAAAGGGACGGCUAACUACGUGCCAGCAGCCGCGGUAAUACGUAGGUCCCGAGCGUUGUCCGGAUUUAUUGGGCGUAAAGCGAGCGCAGGCGGUUAGAUAAGUCUGAAGUUAAAGGCUGUGGCUUAACCAUAGUACGCUUUGGAAACUGUUUAACUUGAGUGCAGAAGGGGAGAGUGGAAUUCCAUGUGUAGCGGUGAAAUGCGUAGAUAUAUGGAGGAACACCGGUGGCGAAAGCGGCUCUCUGGUCUGUAACUGACGCUGAGGCUCGAAAGCGUGGGGAGCAAACAGGAUUAGAAACCCUUGUAGUCCGAAGUUC
rnacentral:rRNA from 1 species